rnacentral:rRNA from 1 species
GACGAACGCUGGCGGCGUGCUUAACACAUGCAAGUCGAGCGGAGCGGCGAACGGGUGAGUAACGCGUGCGUAACUGCCCCCCUCUCUGGGACUACAGUUGGAAACGGCUGCUAAUACCGGAUAGUGGGGCAUGACUCGCGGCCUAUCGGCUUGUUGGUUGGGUAGUGGCCGACCAAGGCGACGACGGGUAGCCGGCCUGAGAGGGGGACCGGCCACAAUGGGCUGAGAGACGGAGCAAACUCCAACGGGAGGCAGUGGUGGAGAAUAUUACACAGUGGGGGAAACCCUGAUGCAGAAACGCCGCGUGCGGAAUGACGGCCUACGAGUUGAGAACCGCUUUCAGCCAAGACGCGGUAGUGGCAGAAGAAGCAACGGCUAACUACGUGCCAGCAGCCGCGGUAAUAC